UACGGGGGGGGCAAGCGUUGUUCGGAAUUACUGGGCGUAAAGGGCUCGUAGGCGGCCAACUAAGUCGGAUGUGAAAUCCCCAGGCUCAACUUGGGAACUGCAUCCGAUACUGGAUGGCUUGAAUUCGGGAGAGGGAUGCAGAAUUCCAGGUGUAGCGGUGAAAUGCGUAGAUAUCUGGAGGAACACCGGUGGCGAAGGCGGCGUCCUGGACCAAUACUGACACUGAGUGAGCGAAAGCCAGGGGAGCAAACGGG
rnacentral:rRNA from 1 species